UGAGUAGAACAAAAAGGUGAAGCUGGGACAUCAUCUUCUGCCCUUGGACAUCACUGCCUAGUUCUUUAGCCUUCAGACCCAUACUGAAUUACACCACCAGCUUUGCUGGUUCUCCAAAUUGCAGUCAACAGAUCGUGGAACCUCUCAAUAUACAGUAUAAUGAUCUAUAUACUGUCUGAUAUAUAAAGGUUUCAGUUGGUCUAAUGAUCUGGUUAACCUGCAGCAUCGGACUCUCACCAUCUCAGGCCGAGUGAGCGUCGCCUGUUACCUGGGUCGCUGCAGGGGCCUCCUGACUGGCCUUCGACCUCCCCCUUACCCGCUUGGGGCUCCUUCUUCAAACAGCAGCCAAGGCUGUGCUUGAACAUGGACAUGAAAACAUGCCGGUCCUCUGCCCGGCGCCUGGCAGGGCUCUCCGUCUGACUCAGAGCGCAAGUCAGUGUCUGUCCGAUAGCCCCGGAGGCCCGCCGUGGCUGGGUCCCACAUGUGACACUAUUGCUCUGCACGGUGGUCGCUGUUCUGGCCACGCUGCCUUCUCACUGUUCUUUGAACACACCAUGCGCUGUCCAUUCCCUCUGCCUUGACCGCUGUUUCCUAUGUAAAGGCACCAUUGCUUCUCUCAUUUCCCUAGUGUUUGUACUUGAAUGUCACCUUCUCACAGAGACCUCCCCUGCCCACUUUAUUUAUAAGCACAUUCUGUCCCCCGCUCCAGCUCUCCUGGUACUCUUUCCUGUGCCCUGUGAUUUAUUUUUUCCAUUAAAGCUUAUCGCUUUCUAAUGUA